rnacentral:lncRNA from 1 species
AGUAGGAAUGCUAAUCUUAAUACCUACAGUUCGUAAAGAGCGGCCAGUGAGAUUAAUAGUCGUGAAUUGUAUUUACUAGCGGUAAAAAGAAGUUUAAGUAUCUUAGAAUUGUCGUUCUCCGAUACACCUGAGUAUUUAAACACAGACCCCAGAUUAAAAAAAGUUCAGAUAAAGAAAUCCUACUACAUCAAGAACUUAGCGAUAUAUGCGGCCAAGAUGCAUCCAUAAGAUCAGCUAGUGGUGCAGAAGAAACGCACUAUAGCCAAAGUUCUGUGGUAAGUGCCGACCUUUAUUUAAGUGACAGCGAUGAUUCAAUAAAGAAUAAAGAUUAUCAACCAGACUCAGACACUGAUUCAGAUGAAAGUGGAAGUAGGUUGCCUGUACCUUUAUCUUCAUUACCAGAGGUGUGCCAAGUAAAUUUAUGCUGUACCCGACUCCUUAACUAAUACAGUAGAAAAGGUUAUAAAUCCCAAUUAUCUAGUGAGCAAGAGGAAAUUUGUCAAUAAAACAAAAAUAAAGCAUACAGGAAAGAAACAGACAUGCUCUUCACUGGAAAGCGAAUGAGAGAAAAAGAAACUAUGCUGGUGGAAGGGCCUAUGUUCGUAGGAAGGGUAAGAAUGUUCCUUGCAAAAACUUAAAAGUGCCAUGCAUUCCGCAUAUUGAAGCAUGAAAUGUAGUUCAAAAUUAUCUGAAGCUCAAAGGGAAGAUAUUUUCAAAAAAUAUUGAAAUGAUACAGCAGACUAUAACAUCAAACGACAAUUUAUAUUAACUUUUGUCCAAACGAAACCAACAGAACGACAUAGGUUGCGCUCAGGAGAUGAAUCUAAACUAAGAUCAAAUACUUUUUUCUACUCUUUUGUAAUUAAUGGUAAUAGAACUUUAGUAUGUAAAACAGCUGAGCAACGUUGAGCGGCCGUGGAGUAACGGCAUAAUCGCUGGCCUCAUACGCCAGUGCACGUGGGUUCGAGCCCUGCCAAAGACAAACCAUUUUCAUUUCCAAUAAUGACACGGGCCGUCUCACCGUGCCUCGGAGAGCACGUUAAGCUGUCGGUCCCCUGGGCUAGUGUACAUCGGCACUAGUUACUUAAAACAGGGUUAAAGAUGUAAAUGGCGCCGGAACUGUCCGAAAGGAUCUCCCCGACAAAAAUGCCAUACGAUAUUAUUAUAAUAUUAUUAUUAUAUAGUAUGUAAAACCAUGUUCUUAAACACGUUAAGCAUUUCACAACAAGUAGUGAAAACUGCUUUAUCAAAGCGACAGGAUGGCGGCAUGGUUCAACAGAAUCUUAGGGGCACUCAUGAGCCAAGUAAUAAGACAACACAAACAAUAAUUAUUAUUAUUGAUUCUGCGGUAUCACAUAUUUCAUCUUUUCCGAAUUACGAGUGUCACUACAAUCGGGAAAGGUUCAAAAAGAAUUAUCUAGGACCUGAUUUAAAUAUUGAAAAAAUGUAUAAAUUGUACAAACGGGAUAAACAGAGAAUAAUGAUAAAUGAUGCUACUGAAUUCAUAGCAAAGCCCGGGCUAUAUCGCGAUAUAUUUAAUAAGCAAUUUAAUUUAACAUUUAAACCCCCAGAGGUAGACACUUGUGCCGACUGCGAUAUGUUUGCAGCUAAAAUACGAGCAAUUGAUAAUAAUUUAAUAAUUCUGAGAAACAGCUGCUUGAAAAUGAGAAAGAUACGCACUUAAAAGAAGCAGAAAAGAGAUAUAAAUUUAAAUCUACUGAUAUGGCCAAAGCAAAAGCAAAUAUAAAGCACAAAGUACCGACUGGUGAUCUAUAAAAGUGCCUUCCAACUAUAUAUAGGCGUAUAUAGUCAUAAUAUGGCCUUCCGGUCAUGUUUGACCAAAUGUGUAAAUUUUUAUAAGCGAAAAUGAUGGACUUUGAAUUACACUUUAUACGAUGGAUAUAAUAGUAUUGUGUAAUAUGGGAUGAAACGAAAGCAAACAGAGGGGGAAAUGAAAAUGGGAUAAACGAUUUUACCUCGCAAUCUUUUCUGUAACUGAAAUUUUUUUUCUCUUUUUUUUUCGCAAAAACAAGAAAGUUUAUUUAAGGUAUGUGCAGGUAAUAACGCCAGCUUGGUAAUAUCGCCAACUCGUGAUUUCUCAGAAAGUAUGUUUGCUAAAUAAUAAAUGGUAACAUGGGUAUGUUCCUCAUAGUAUUCUAAAUCACUUGAGCAUGUUUGCGAUGACCUUAGAUUCGCCAGCAGUGUUUAGGACAGUUGAGUAUCAGUGUUCGGUGUAGAAGGAGUACCGUUUAUAAUUUUACAUCUUUUGUGUUUAUUAGAUUGGAGCGGCGUUAUUGAUGAGUAAUAUUAUUAGAUUUCAGUGAUUUGUACUUUGUUUCCUAAGGAAUAAAAUGAUGCAUUCAGAUUUUUAAGAUAGUUUUGCUUAUCUUCAAAAACCAAAUUACAAACAAUUUAUGUGCAUGUCAGUAAUAUCGCCAAGUCCAAUGGAUGGUAAUAACGCCUUGGCGUUACCAUCCCUUGGAGAAGGUUGCGUUAUGUCGAAGGUUGGAAAAAUUAAAGAGCGCUCUGCCGUAGAGUCAUCGACAAGCAACAGUGAUUCUGAUGAUAUAGUGUUAAGUGAGAUGGAAACAUCAGAUGAAGAAAAACAUGACACUUUAUUUUCAGAUAUGCUAACCACUCCAGAUUAUGAUACAAAAAUCUUAUUGUUCUUAAAUACUUAUUUAUUGUUAUUUUUCAGCAAAUAUAUCAUUUUGAAGUAUAAUGUUCAAUUGUUAGACCGUAUUGAAUUCGAAAUAAUAGGCUGGCGAUAUUGCCAACAAGGGUUGGAAAUAUCGCCAAAGAUGACUUUUUUUUAAAUUGUCCAGUAAAAGUGUAAAAAUGCCCAAGUUAUUAUUUUAGUGGAUUCUACAUAAUUUCAAGUAGUUCAUUGAAUAGCUCAAGUUGUGACAUCUUUUCUAAUAUGACCCACUAUCCAACAAAAAAUUCUAAACCUUAACUUGGCGAUAUUACCUUCAGAUACCUUAUGUCUAUUUAAUUUUAGUUUAUUUCUAAUUUUUAGUCAUUUUGAAUUGUUUUUGAUUUAAGCUAAAAAAUUUAAAAUGCCAAGAGUUCCGUGGACCUCGGUAAUUUCAUCAUUUAUACGCUACUUCGAAAAGGAUGCAUUGUAGGCAUGAAAGAGGCCUGUUUUGGUUUAAGGGGAAAUUUCAAGAAGAGUUGAAGUUAAUCCAUCAAAGGUGUUAAAAGUUUGGAGAAGGUGGUCCAAUGAUGAGACUUAUCGACGUCGUGGAGUGUCCGGGCGUCCUAGAAUAUUUUAAGGCAGUGAUUUACGCCAUCUUAUACUUCUUGCACUCAGGGAUUAACGGGACAGUAUAAUCAAGUAAGAGGUUAUUUAGUUUCAGCUACAGGAAAAGUAGCCUCAAGAAGUCCGUUUUUGGUGUUUGACACCACAGCAUAAGACUAGACGCUUAGAAUGGUACAGAGCUAGGCAAAACUGGAAUGGCCAAUGGAAUUUUGUCUGCUUCAGUGAUAAAUAUAGGUUUUGUUUGGAUGGGAGGCUCUAAUGGGCGCAUACGGGUAAGACGUUUUCGAGGUGAGAGACGAAAUAAAGGCCUGAAAAGGCCGAAAAGGCAGAUCACCUAUAGUUCUUAUUAAAGGUACUCUGACAGCUCGGUUUACUUUAAUCGGUUUUACAUUAUUCCUACCUACAAACCAAUCAAAAUGUAAUCUUUCAGCAGGAUAACGCAAGACCUCAUAUUGCCCGUGAAACCAUAGAGUUCAUACAAGAAUCUGGUAUAGUGACUUUGGAGUGGCUAUCAAGAUUAGCUGAUUUGUCAACAAUUGAACAUGUGUGGAAUAAUAUGGUAGGUCGAAACAUAAAUCAUAAAUCGAUUGCCACUUCCUCCAACAAACUUAGAAGACCUGUGGCAUGCCAUAAGAAUCUAGAUGAGUAUUUCGCAUUAUGAUAUAGACCACUUAAUUAGAUCUAUGCCCUAUAAAGUAACUGAGUGUAUAGAAAUAGAAAACCACUCAUUAUUUAUUUUUUGACGAAAUAUUAUAAUGUAUACUUAUAUAAAUAAAUAUUUAAAAAAAUA